GGAGCGAUAGCGCUGGUUUCAAGUGGUCGACUCACUAGUCGCAAUUUGUAUUUAAAAGAAGUGCGCUGUUAAUACCCUGUACAGUACGAGGUAGAAGGGGUUGAAGGUGAACUCACCAUCUCACUUACCAGACCAGUGGUACAUCAGAGCAGUGAACAUCAGCUCACUGAUAGAGCCAGGGCUAACAGGGUUCCAUCCCAUUAGGGUCAGGUCCUGAGCCUAUGGUCCUAGUGGUAGCCGUGACCUUGGGAAUAUAAAUAAGUCAACAGGUAACACAAAGACUAACUGGAUAGGAAAAGGAGGUACACUGCUUGUGAGGAUCAGUUGCAACACAUUAAGACUGAAAUAGUAUGUGAAAAAGAGAGUUAUAUACAGCAUGCUUAAUCCAAUUCACAGAAGAAAAAGUUGCUUAGAUCAUUUCAGAGGUUAAAAUCAAGCAGAAAUAGGAAAGAAAGGUCAUUUUUCUAAGCAACAUGAGUGAGAGCGCUAGGCACAAUGCUCCCAGUGAUAGCUCUACAACGGGUAGAAAAAAGGUCCAUGAAGUAAGCAAAGAGAGAAAGGUAAAGCUCCCUAAAAAGUCGCCUGCACGUUCCUGUGUGCAGGUCUUACUUGUGUGGAAGAGCUGUGACACAGGCAGUGCUGCCAGAAGCAGGCAGUUCAGCCCUGAAGGCCUGCUGGAGCAAGGCUUAGCAGCAGGCCUGGUAGCAGGCCCACCAAACGCACCACAGCAGUUCCCUUUGACCUCAGGAAUCUAUGUAUAUUUCUCCCAUUUAUAAUCAUAUUUUGUAUGAGCCAAAAGCUGCAGGACUCUGUCAGAACUUGACACAUGCAGAAUGGGAUGUUCUUAGGGCUUCAUAAUACUGUAGUGGUGGGCUAUAGAAAGAACUGUUAAACAGACACAUUCCUCCUUCAUUUUUUAUUAUAACAGACAUAUCUAACAUAGCCAUCCCUUGACUUUAAAUGCAAUGGUUGGUGGAGCAGGUAUGUAGAAUGCUUCUCAUUUCAACAUUUUCAGCGUAUCACGGUGUGAAGCAACAAGUCAGUUUCUUAGGUGGACAUUUCUAAACAGAAAGUGAAUACAGAGGUCUUUGACUUCAUCUGUCACCUCAUCCUGUUAUGCCUGGGCACACAGCAGAGGCACUGGAAACCCCUCAACGUUAGUACUGCAAGCAGAAGCAGGGCAACAGCCUGUACCAGAGCUUGCAAGCAGCCUGAUACUCCCCCUUCCAAAGGUCAGUUGCCAUUAGGAGCUACCCACCUCAGCUGCUGGGAACGAGGCACUUACAGACACCUUUUCAUCUAUUUGAUCUACUCACUUUUUUUUUUUUUUUUGUUCCAUUUCAGUUCUCUUCCUCACUUCUCUGCAUUAUCUCAUUUUCCAAUAUCCAUUUUCUCCCAACAUCCGUGGCCCUUAAUGCUUGUGAGAAUGCUUCGUGCACCUUAACGCCAUCAGCUAAAACAAUCAGUAUUGAAUAGUUAGUGCAAAGGAGUUCAAAAAACCAUAAAAAAUUAGUUCCCCCAUAAGGCCAGUGAAGAGACUUCCCUCAAAGUUAUGAAGCAUUCUGCAAAAUCAAGACUAACACUAGAUGAAGUUUAAUUCAAAUUACUGGGGAAAACAUCUUUGCUAACACAAACCACUUUUUUUUUGGUCUUAUUUAAAUAAGCACUUAUGUUCAGAGAUCUUAACCUAAACUCAUAGGGCUAAAAAAAAAAACAACAGAAGGGGUGAAGUCUGAAUGACCGCGUUUAGAAUAACUUACCUUCAUCUUGUGAUUUGCCAGCAAAUCCACAUGGAGAGAUCCACAAAGGGAAUCAAAGUGCAUUGUAAUGCACAGAGGAACAGAAUGGUAGUUCCACCUUCAAUGCCCUUUUAAAUGGCCCCAGAAUACCCUGCAAACUUAAGGUUUAGUUAUCAGCCAGCUGUACUCUAGAUAUCUGAGCAGUGAAAUUAUCUAAAUUUAUCAGGAGAUACGACCCAAGAUGAAUUACCUUAAUCAAAAUCAAUCUGAAAACAGGAUUUUCCUGAAAACUGAAAAUAGUGCCUCAGCAGUCAUCUGUGGGAUUAAGAGCCAUAACAUAGGCUGUAUGUAUUAACAGCCAGAACCUGAACAUUAUUGUUUUUAACAUUUAUCUGUGUAUUAUACUGCAUUUCACUACUGCUUCACAGUAAGCAUUGCAAAAAAAGCAAACCAAUUACAUGAUGGAUGGUUUUUAAAUUAUGCUUUCAU
ensembl:lncRNA